rnacentral:ncRNA from 1 species
UAUUUUUACCGCAGUUUUAGACGUUAUCGGUAAUAUAGUUUGUACCGAACCUUUCCCAAAAGAUUGAGUUCCCAUAAUUAUUGCUCUCUUAUGGUCUUGAAGGGCACCUGCUACAAUUUCUGAUGCUGAUGCAGAACCACCAUUUAUUAAAACAACAAUUGGUUUACCUUUUGUCAAAUCUGUAUCAUUUGAAAUAUAUUCAUAUAGAGCGUUUUCUGUCUUACCUUUUGUAAAUACUAGUUUUUUCUUUCCUUUAAUAAAUGUGUCACUUACAUCCACAGCAGCUCCUAGCACUCCACCAGGAUUAUUUC